rnacentral:lncRNA from 1 species
AUCUAGUCAAGUUAACAACUGAGAUUAACUGGGACAGCUGGUGAUGAAAGGGGAGGCAUGCCUUCCUAGCAUGCCAAUGGCCCUGGGUUCAAUCCCCAGCACCACUGCCACCCAUUCCUUGAUUAACUUCUUAGGAUGAAAUGUUUCAAACAUCCACAAAUACAGUGGUUAAAGCUGCAUUUUAAACCAGACAUGGAAUAAUGGAAAUAAUUCAUCACCAGCCGGUCUACACUAUAAGAAAUGUUAACGUCUUUCAGGCUAAAGGAAUAUGAUACUAGAGAGAAACACAGUUCUGCAAAAAGCAAUGAAGCAUACUAGAAAUGCCAGGGCAUGUAGCCUGGAUAGAAAAUAAUGGCCAGAAAGAGGGCUACUGCCAUCACUUGGUGCUUGCUGCUUUUGCUGCCUUCUGCCUUCUGCCUUCCAUACUAUGAACUGUUUUUCUCCUCUGUGAUGCCACUUUGCCUUGGACCCAGCUGAUUAUGGACUGAAACCUCUACAAACUAUGAGCCAAAAUAAACCUUUCCUCCUUUAACUUUGGAUGUUGGGUAUUUUGUCUCAGCAAUGAGAAACAUAACUAAG